ensembl:piRNA 21ur-1162 ncRNA
UACCAGAAAUCUACAAACUUU